UACGUAGGUGACAAGCGUUGUCCGGAUUUACUGGGCGUAAAGAGCGCGCAGGCGGUCGAUCAAGUCGAGUGUGAAAGCCCCCGGCUCAACUGGGGAGGGUCAUUCGAUACUGAUCGACUCGAAGGCAGGAGAGGGUAGUGGAAUUCCCGGUGUAGUGGUGAAAUGCGUAGAUAUCGGGAGGAACACCAGUGGCGAAGGCGGCCUUCUGGACCAAUACUGACGCUCAUGCACGAAAGCGUGGGGAGCAAACAGG
rnacentral:rRNA from 1 species